GAUGCAGCGACGCCGCGUGAGGGAUGAGGCCUUCGGGCCUUGUGAACCUCUUUCGCUAGUGAAGAAGGCCUGCUUUUUUGGGGGGUUGACGGUAGCUGGGAAUAAGAAGCGCCGGCUAACUACGUGCCAGCAGCCGCGGUAAACGUAGGGCGCGAGCGUUGUCCGGAAUUAUUGGGCGUAAAGGGC
rnacentral:rRNA from 1 species